AACGAACGCUGGCGGCGUGCCUAACACAUGCAAGUCGAACGAGACCUUCGGGUCUAGUGGCGCUCGGGUGCGUACCGCGUGGGAACUUGCCCUUAGGUUCGGUAUACCUCCCCGAAGGGGGUCCUAAUACCGGUUGAUGUCUUCGGACCAAAGAUUUAUUGCCUUUGGAUGGGCCUUCGUUGGAUUGGCCAGUUGGUAGGGUAAAAGCCUACUAAGGCGACGAUCCGUAGCUGGUCUGUUGGGAUGAUCAGUACCACUGGGACUGAGACACGGCCCAGACUCCUACGGGAGGCAGCAGUAGGUAAUAUUAUACAAGGAACGAUAGUCUGAUCCAGCAGCGCCGCGGAAGUGAUGAAGGCCGUAGGGUUCUAAAGCUCUUUUACCCGAGAUGAUAAUGACAGUACCGGGAGAAUAAGCUCCGGCUAACUCCGUG
rnacentral:rRNA from 1 species